CCUACGGGAGGCAGCAGUGGGGAAUAUUGCACAAUGGGGGAAACCCUGAUGCAGCGACGCCGCGUGAGUGAAGAAGUAUUUCGGUACGUAAAGCUCUAUCAGCAGGGAAGAAAAUGACGGUACCUGACUAAGAAGCCCCGGCUAACUACGUGCCAGCAGCCGCGGUAAUACGUAGGGGGCAAGCGUUAUCCGGAUUUAAUGGGUGUAAAGGGAGCGUAGACGGCAGCGCAAGUCUGGAGUGAAAUCCCAUGGCUUAACCAUGGAACUGCUUUGGAAACUGUGCAGCUAGAGUGCAGGAGAGGUAAGCGGAAUGCCUAGUGUAGCGGUGAAAUGCGUAGAUAUUAGGAGGAACACCAGUGGCGAAGGCGGCUUACUGGACUGUAACUGACGUUGAGGCUCGAAAGCGUGGGGAGCAAACAGGAUUAGAUACCCGAGUAGUC
rnacentral:rRNA from 1 species